GCUAACUGCGGGCAGGCGGCGUGGGUAGUACGGAGGGGCGUGGCGGUUAGUGGAAUGAGUGGGCGUAGAGCGUGCGCAGUGGGUGUGGUGAGCGAGAUGGGAAAGCCCUGGGCGCAAACUAGGAAUAGCAUUUCGAACUGGGGAACUAGGGUCUUGUAGAGGGGGGUAGAAUUCCAGGUGUAGCGGUGAAAUGCGUAGAGAUCUGGAGGAAUACCGGUGGCGAAGGCGGCCCCCUGGACAAAGACUGACGCUCAUGCACGAAAGCGUGGGGAGCAAACAGGAUUAGAUACCCUAGUAGUC
rnacentral:rRNA from 1 species